AUGGAGGCCUGUCUGAUACUGAUUCUCACAAUUUCAGGUGUGUUUGCUGACAGCAUUGGACCAAAUGACAAGGACACUAAUGUGAUCAUUAGAGAAGGAGAGUCUGUGACACUGAGAUGCUCAUAUGAUGCUAGCAGCAGUUAUGUCUAUCUUUACUGGUACAGACAGUAUCCAAAUACAGAACCAACAUAUUUACUAUGGCAAGGUGCUCGAUCAAAUCGAGGAGAGCUGGAUAAAACAGAGCAGCGGUUUCAGCCAACUUCAUCCCAGUCAUCCACUGAACUCACUAUUAACAGUGUGACUCUGUCAGAUUCAGCUCUCUAUUAUUGUGCUCUAAGAGUUGGAGCCCAGUGA